AGACAGAGAGAGAGAGAGAUAGCUGAUAUUCAGAAAAGGAGAUACUGACAUCAUCUCAGUACGAGGUAUUUUGAUCCAUUUCAAUUCGAUCACUUAUCAAGAACGAUCCACACAGAAAUAGAGAGAUUUGCUGUGAUUGUUUGCUUUGCUUUGCACAAAGACAGACAGAGAGAGAGAUAGCUGAUAUUCACAAAAGGAGAUUGUCACCUCAUCAUCUGAGUACGAGCACACCAGAGGAUCACAGGAUGAUUGUUACUGAUAUUCGAAUUAGAACAAAUCUCCUGAACAGAAAAUGAACCAAGUAUGAUGGUAGGGUUCGUAUAAGUUCAGAUUCGAUGAGUAAAAUAGAGGCAGAACUUGAACCUGAAUUUCAAAGGUUAGGGCUAAACAAGAAUACUUCUACUUUGGAGAGAAGAUUAACUGAUCUUGAUGAGUUUGACGAAUUGGUAGAGCUGGAGUGAUCUGAUUGCCAAUAUAUGAAAUUAACAAUGAGUCCAAGCUGCUAUCAUCACAGUUGAAGGGGGUUAUACCCUGGUGGAGAUCUUCCCUUCCUGUCCAAGACCAUGAGUUGUUAAGAAUGAAGAUCUAUUAAGAGUUUUGGUGAAAAUUGAGAGCUUCGAAGCCAUUCACAAGCAGGAAAAAAUCAUUAAAGCUUUCUAUGGAGUCAUGAUUGCUCGGAUUGAUCUUGGAGUUGAAAUCCCACUCAAACAGAUUCCAAUGGUCCAAGAGAAAAUAAUUCAAGUGUGUGGGCAGCUAAACAAUCAAGUAUUUGUAGCUUCUCAACUACUUGAAUCAAUGAUUGAAUACCCAACCCCAACACACGUUGAGGAAAGGAUAUUUCUUCCUUGCCUUGGUGGUGAAUUGGACAGUGAGUGUGAUGAACCAGUUUCAAUGAAACUGUCUACACACAAUCAAGAAGAGCUACUAGAUUGCAAAACACUAUAAGAGGUUUUAAAGAGCUUGGAAAAGAAGGUGCCUAACUUGAAAAUUUUCACCUAUGAACGAUUGGAUCGAUUGAAAAGAGUGAGAAUGUGACACAGAAUGCGUUUAGAAGUGAUGCAGAAUACUUAACCUGUGAAUGUUCUUUUCUGAUUUUGGGUUGGUUUCUUAUUUGAAUCCUUUUCGUUUGAUUUUUGUUGGUUGUUAGUUCAGUUAGGGAAAAAGCAAUUUACAAUUGUUAUAUGACUAGAAUGCAUUUAUACUACCCGAGGCAAAGUGCGGUAUCGCAAGGUUUGUUUAUCUCAGAUAUACUGCAUGUAUGUCAACAAUGGAAACUUGGAGCAGUAACUUCAUGGAGGUAUCCGUCACCAUGGGUAUCUCUAUUUGCCUUUGAUGCCAACGUGUUCUUCUUAUUCAACGAGUCACAAGAUAUACUUUUUCGCAUUCUUGCUUAUUUACACAACGCCAUUGAACCAAAGUUGAUACAUCGAGACAUUAAGCGGAGGCUUCUUCUUAGCUGCUAAGUACUUUGUAAAGGAAUAUCCAUUUGCGGAAGAGAGAGCAGUUACUGACUUUAGUUUGCCAAAUCAAGUCUGACUGAUAAGAAAAUUGAAUUCAAGAGGGAGUUCCGUCCAGGUGAGUUACCUCCAGGUGAGGUACUGCUAAUGUCGCUGGAUGCAAUUGUUGCAUGGCUAAAACAGAAAGCUGAUUGUUUAGAGGGAUGCAUAUUCUAUCACAGAACAAUGUGGUAAUGGAAAUCAAAGGCUUCGAGGAAUCAGAUGAUAUUGAAGUACUUUCUAGAGCAAUUCAAUUGGGAACAAUUUGUGUCUCUUCACAAAAAUACUACUGCAAUUGAUGUAAUAUAUGGUAUUUUAUCAGUUUGAUCAAUAAUAAAGUCAUUUUCAAUUA